CGCGGGGUGGGCAGCCUGGUAGCUCGUCGGGCUCAUAACCCGAAGGUCGUCGGUUCAAAUCCGGCCCCCGCAACCA
rnacentral:tRNA from 3 species